rnacentral:rRNA from 1 species
UACGUGGGGGGCAAGCGUUGUUCGGAAUUACUGGGCGUAAAGGGCUCGUAGGCGGCCAACUAAGUCGGAUGUGAAAUCCCCAGGCUCAACUUGGGAACUGCAUCCGAUACUGAUUGGCUUGAAUCCGGGAGAGGGAUGCAGAAUUCCAGGUGUAGCGGUGAAAUGCGUAGAUAUCUGGAGGAAUACCGGUGGCGAAGGCGGCAUCUUGGACCGGCAUUGACGCUGAUGAGCGAAAGCCAGGGGAGCAAACGGG